UGCUUUCACAAAGAAGUUUUGGAAAUUCACACUUUCCUCCCUUGCUGCUUGAUUUUCCCCUGGGUGGAAACCUUUGGUAUCCGAAAGGGCCAGGGCCAGAAAGUUACUGAAAACUCAAGCUUUGACCACCUGCACAAGGUAUACCAAAGGUGCCCAGGGUCAGAUGGUUUGGCACCACUCCAGUCACCUCCAUCAAGCAAAAUAAGCAAGGUGCAGUCUCACUAUGUUGCCUAGGCUGGACUUGAACUCCUGGGAUCAAGGGAUUUUCCUGCCCCAGUCUCUCCAGUAGCUGGGACUACAGGUAUAUGCUACCACAUCCGGCUAACCUCCCUAUUUUUAACACUUAUCAUAAGCAAUACUCGUGAUAAUCAGGCAA